rnacentral:rRNA from 1 species
ACACGACUACAUUAGAUACCCGGGUAGUCCCAGCCGUAAACGAUGCGCGUUAGGUGUAUCGGUGACCACGAGUCACCGAGGUGCCGAAGGGAAACCGUGAAACGUGCCGCCGUGGGAAGUACGGUCGCAAGGCUAGAAACUUAAAGGAAUUGGCGGGGAGCACCACAACGGGUGGAGCCUGCGGUUUAAUUGGACUCAACGCCGGGAAGCUCACCGGAUAAGACAGCGGAAUGAUUGCCUGGCUGAAGACUCUGCAUGACUAGCUG